AACGAUGAUUACUAGGUGUUGGAGGAUUGACCCCUUCAGUGCCGCAGUUAACACAAUAAGUAAUCCACCUGGGGAGUACGACCGCAGGGUUGAAACUCAAAGGAAUUGACGGGGGCCCGCACAAGCAGUGGAGUAUGUGGUUUAAUUCGAAGCAACGCGAAGAACCUUACCAGGUCUUGACAUCCGAUGCAUAGCACAGAGAUGUGUGAAGUCCUUCGGGACAUCGAGACAGGUGGUGCAUGGUUGUCGUCAGCUCGUGUCGUGAGAUGUUGGGUUAAGUCCCGCAACGAGCGCAACCCUUAUUGCCAGUUACUACGCAAGAGGACUCUGGCGAGACUGCCGUUGACAAAACGGAGGAAGGUGGGGAUGACGUCAAAUCAUCAUGCCCUUUAUGACCUGGGCUACACACGUACUACAAUGGCGUUUAACAAAGAGAAGCAAUACCGCGAGGUGGAGCAAAACUCAAAAACAACGUCUCAGUUCAGAUUGCAGGCUGCAACUCGCCUGCAUGAAGUCGGAAUUGCUAGUAAUCGCGGAUCAGCAUGCCGCGGUGAAUACGUUCCCGGGCCUUGUACACACCGCCCGUCACACCAUGAGAGCCGGGGGGACCCGAAGUCCGUAGUCUAACCGCAAGGAGGACGCGGCCGAAGGUAAAACUGGUGAUUGGGGUGAAGUCGUAACAAGGUAACC
rnacentral:rRNA from 1 species